UUCCUGGUGGCUUAGAUGGUAAAGAAUCUGCCUGCAAUGCAGGAAAGCCAGGUUCGAUCCCUGGGUUGGGAA
rnacentral:tRNA from 1 species